UUCUUAGCAAUCUAGUAUGUCCAAAGAUACUGUUUUAAGAUCUCUAAAGAUUAUUAGUAUGGUGAAGAGCCAAUCCUUGCAUUCAAAAAAAAAUCCUCUUAACUAAGAAGGUAGGGCAUUUAUUUUAAUAUAUUGAAUCCAAAAUAAAAAUUGAGAAGUGCAAUAGGAGAAGACAAAGUGGCAUAAGAUUUGAGAGUAGGAAGAGAGAGUUUCUAGAUGAGGGUAUGAAAGUUGUUUAUGAAGGGUAUGGCAUAGGAUUGGAUAAGCAUAUAACAAAGAAGUAGAACACAGGAUGGCAAAGGGAAUAAAUCAAGCUUUGGGGAGAGUAGCAAGCAGUAUACUUUGAUUGGAAGUCAGGGGAUUAAAAGAAAAUUGAAAACGAUUGGCAAGAUAGGGUGGGCUGAUUAGGCUGGUGCCUAGCUAAGGAGGCAAAACUAAGAAAAUUCAGUCCUCAGGGAGGGGCAUUAAUGGUAUGUUAAAGGUGGCCUCUAUGUCCAAGGAACACUUAGGGAAAGACUCAGGACAAUGAUUAUUUACCAGUCUUCCCAUAUUUUAAUAGCCAGUACUUUACAGUUAAUGUACCAAUUGUUAUUAACCUUGUUGGUGUUAAUAAAUUCAUAUACCUUAGUAAAGAUUGACUACAUUUAUUCUCAGGCAUUAAGUAAACUAUAGUAAAGGAAAAGGGUAAGAAUAUUUCAAGUAUGCCAAGUGGAAGUACGAUUUUGUCACCUAGUAACACCAAUUUUGCAAAUGUGUCACUCUUCAACUAUAAACGUAGAGCAAUGAAAUAUAUCUGAGCCUCAAGACUGUUCUGUCUCAACAAUGGGUUCAGUAAGAACAACAAGCUCCUCCAAGUGACACUUAUCCAGCUCCCCAAAGACAGCUCCUACUGUCUUUCAGGUGGCUUGAGGCAAUGGACAAAGUGGCCCAUCUUGUCCACCAGGUAAGAUUUCCUUGAUAUUUAUCUCUUCUUUCAUUUUGCAUUUCUUCUCAGAGGUGGAAAGGAACAUGUUAGAUGUCAUGUGGUCUACCCCGGGAUGUCUCAGAUGUGUUCUAAAAGCAGGGAAAGAGAUCUUAAGUCAACAGGGUUUUUCGCUCAGUUCCUAUGGGGGAGCUUGCAUUUCUGCUGCUCUUUUCAUUUUCAGGAGCUUGUAUGCCAUCCUUCUCAGUAAGAGUCAGUGGGGAGUCACAAACUGGGGUGGAAUUUCUGUUUCACAUGAAGAAGUCCAGUAGUUCCCCAUGAUGACAAACCACUGCUGCUGUUUUCUUUUUACUCCCCAAAUAUAAGAUCUCAGGGAUAUCUCAGGAUGGUGCUAUUGAUUGAGCAGCUUACUAGGAAAUGAGUGUGUUGUAAUUCAGAAAUACAGUGCUUUUAUGUUUACAUCCUUGUUCUGUAGACAUAUUAGGCCAAUUUUCACUAUUCCUGCCCGUUCAUGAUUCCAAACUUUGCAGCAAUAUGGUUUUUAAUUUAAAUUUCACCUACAAACUGAUAGAUAACUUCAUAACAUCAACAGGAGAGUCAUCACCUUGACAUCUAAGGCAUUUGAUAUUUCUCUUUCUGAACUUGUUCUACAAACUGUUGGGGAAAAAAUUGCUUUAAUACCAAUUGUUUCAUUUUUAUGAUAUAAAUAUGAUUUCUAAUGAGAUUAUAGAUUUCCUUUAAAUAUGCUCAUUUCCUCACAAAAUAGUAUACAAGCAAAAGUAAUUAUCAAUUAUCUUCUCUACAUAUUUUGGCUCUUGUGCCUUUGGGAAAAUUUAGAUUGUUUGAGCUUAAAUGUACUGCCAGGUACCCUGUAACUGUCCUUUCAGAACAAUAACAAGCAUCAUCAUUGACAAACAACAGGACUUGUGUUUCAUUUUACCUGGAACACAACGUUGAGCACACUCAUUCAUCUCUCCAACGUGUCAUCCUAAUGAGCCUCAAUAUUUUUAGGAGGCAUUUAUUCUGCUAAUGCACUCAGAGUCUGAAGCAAAGUGGAAAAAAUGAACACCCAAACCCCCAGCAGGCUCCCACUUCACAGCAAAGAAUACAGCAAACUCUGCCUUCUGAAAUCAUUUGCCCUGUCAUGUUAAAACUAAAGAGCAAAAAUGAAACCAAACAGAGAAGAGGAACUGGCAAGCACAGGUAGGGCAUUCUGAUGAAGAGAUAAAGCACAGUGCUCCCAGCCUCAGGUCACAGUUCCCAGAGUUCCCUCCCAGUUCCCAGGCUGGUGGAGGAAGGGCUGUCCUCCAGGGAAGAGAAUUUUGAUUUAUCUUGGGCCUUCCAUGUCACUGACCAUGAGAUCCUAAGACAUGAGCUGGCCUGUGGCAUUUAACUUGUUCCGUUGCACAAAGGAGAGUUACAGGUAAGGAAAAGUAUGAACCAAGGACUGCUAUUCAUCACAGUGGACAUACCAGGAACAGGGCUAGGAAGACAAUCCCAAUGGUGAGUGAGGUAACACCUUCCCAGACAUGUUACCUCACUUAUCAGGCUCAGUGCUUAUAGAUGGGGGCAUUAAAAACAGCCUUUACUAAGGUGCUUGUUUCCAUUUCCUUUCUAUACAUGAUUCCAUGUUC
rnacentral:lncRNA from 1 species